AACUAUAAUUUUGAAAAAUGAGUUCAUAUAAAUAUUAAAAGUUGUAACAAAAUUAUGUUAGAAUCCAAUUUUUUGUGAACGUGAAAGAAGUCGAGAGGUUUUUGGGAUUGUGAAGGUUUUGGGACAAGGAUUCGAGGAAAUUUCAGGGAAAUCAACUUUAACGGCAAAUUCGAGAGAUAGAUAGGACUUUGGUCCAGUGAUGGCCUGGUUCAGAGAGAGAUUAUGGUGGUCUCACGUCCAGAGAGGUAUACGAUUCAAAGAGGAACCAAAGACAUGGGAAUAUCAGUAACAUACCUCUGAUCUCAGUUAUUUUAGUACCACGUGCAUUUUAGAUGGAGAUGGUGACAUUGCAUUGUAUUUGCAUUAUGAUCUGUUUGAUUGUGAUUGAGAAUAUUGUUAUAUUCGUUAGUACUAUCCUGUCUCGCACAAUUUAACUGUUAAUAAUUGUUAGAUGUAUUACACCCCUUGUUUGUUGUUGUAGCGUCUGUGCUCCUCAGGAGUACAUGAAAUCCGGUAUAGAAGUAGCUAUUGAGUUACGGGAUGACAUUGAUGCCCCCUUUAGCUUUUAUCAUUGGGUUUUAGAGGGGCCACUCUGAUAUGUAACACGGGGGAUUGGGAUGUCUUCCGCCAUUUUGUUUUGUUUUAUUUGGUUGAAGUUUGUUGUUGAGACUCCAUGCCGGACAUUGUUUAAUAUUAUCUGCUUACCUAAUAUGACUAUCUAGUUUUUGGAGUUUUAUGUUUUACUGACACUCUAAUAUUUAAUUUUAAUUCCAACUAUUUCAUUAAAUGUCGAGUUGGGAAUUAGGAUGUUACAGACAUCACACAACAUACAAGCAAAGAUUGAAUGGAUCGCCAAGAAAUUUGUCCACAUAUUAAGACAUAAUCCUGAAAUGAAACCACUUAGACUUAUUACUGAAUCAAUUGACAAAUGGGGUGUGAAAUUUUCAGCUAACCAGGCAUAUAGAUCUAAAAGAAGAGUUGUAGAAAUAAUACAGGGCGCUGAAAGGGAUCAAUUCACUUACUUAAGGAGUUAUGCACAAGAGUUAUUGAACUCAAACCCUAGAAGUAAUGUUGUGUUUCAAUGUUGCGACUCUAUAUAUGGCACUGUGUUUGAAAGGAUUUACAUUUGUUUAGAGGCAUGUAAAGUUUGAUUUGAAAACACUUGUAUGCCACUUACAAGGCUUGAUGCAUGUUUUUUAAAGGAGACUAUGAGGGACAAAUGAUGGCAGCAGUUGAUAGAGAUAGAAAUAAUCAAAUAUUACCCAUUGCAUAUUUUAUAGUAGAGGCUAAAACAAAGGAUCCUUGGGAGUGGUUCAUAAUCCUCCUAGUUGAUGACUUGCAAAACAUCAAUCAAAGGCCACGUGCUUUCAUAUUUGAUGAACAAAAGGAAAACAACUUUUCAGCAGACUUAUUCACAUAUCAUAUACCCAACCAAUGAACCACAACUUUGACUUGUACAUGAUCAGUUACCACUCCAUCCACCAUUGAUAAGAAAGGCAAUUGAACGUCCCAAAAAGAUAAAGAACAAGACCAAUGAUGAACCAAGAAACACACACGUGCUGCCAAGAAAACUAGCAACUAUUACAUGUCACAAGUGUGGAGCAAUGGGACACAACAUUAGGAGUUGUAAGGGAAAGAUAGUUGUUGAUAGGGCUAUAACAACCAGACCAAGAAAUAUAAGAUCAAGAAGACUGCAGUUACCAAGAAGGUAAAGACAAAGAAGAUUAACAUUGAAACUGAAAUUUGUUUUUCUUCAUAAGCAACAACUCCUACACAACCAAACCAAUAUUAAAUUUAGCAUGUAGAAGUACUUUUUGGAUUGUUUGCAAUGUCUGUGAUGAAACUAUAUGUCACCACUAAGUUGUUUUUUUGUUAUGUUUGUAA